rnacentral:rRNA from 1 species
UACGUAGGGAGCAAGCGUUGUCCGGAAUCAUUGGGCGUAAAGCGCGCGUAGGUGGCUUCAUAAGUCCGUUGUGAAAGUCAAAGGCUCAACCUUUGAAAGCCGAUGGAUACUGUGGAGCUAGAGUACGGAAGAGGCGAGUGGAAUUCCUGGUGUAGCGGUGGAAUGCGCAGAUAUCAGGAGGAACACCAAUAGCGAAGGCAGCUUGCUGGGACGGUACUGACGCUGAGGCGCGAAAGCGUGGGGAGCAAACAGG